rnacentral:rRNA from 1 species
GACGAACGCUGGCGGCGUGCUUAACACAUGCAAGUCGAACGGAAAGGCACUGCUUUUGUGGGGUGCUCGAGUGGCGAACGGGUGCGUAACACGUGAGUAACCUGCCCUUGACUUUGGGAUAACUUCAGGAAACUGGGGCUAAUCCCGGAUAGGAGAUCCUGCUGCAUGGUGGGGGUGGGAAAGUUUCGGCGGUCGGGGAUGGACUCGCGGCUUAUCAGCUUGUUGGUGGGGUAGUGGCUUACCAAGGCUUUGACGGGUAGCCGGCCUGAGAGGGUGACCGGCCACAUUGGGACUGAGAUACGGCCCAGACUCCUACGGGAGGCAGCAGUGGGGAAUAUUGCACAAUGGGCGGAAGUCUGAUGCAGCAACGCCGCGUGCGGGAUGACGGCCUUCGGGUUGUAAACCGCUUUCGCCUGUGACGAAGCGUGAGUGACGGUAAUGGGUAAAGAAGCACCGGCUAACUACGUG